CUUCCGAUCCCUCGAGGCCGUGACAUCAAAGGCUAGCUAGCGUCACUCGACUGGCUAGCUCCACGUUUUGUUUGGGUCUUUCUACAGAGAGAGAAAAAAGAUAACGAAUUUAACUCAGACUUUCUGCCGAAGAUGAUGAGCACAAACGAAGAACAUUCCAAGCAUUUCAACGUAGGUAAGCAAAGGGGGGUUACAGGUGCCCUAAAGGGAUAAACUAGAAUAUCAAUACACAACAUUGACUGUAUGUUUGUUUUACUCCAACUCUGCGUUAUGUGUGUCAAACUGCUUUGCUUUAUCUUGGCCAGGUCGCAGUUGUAAAUGAGAGUUUGUUCUCAACUUGCUUACCUGGUUAAAUAAAGGUGAAAUAAAAAAAAUAGAUGUAAUCCUCUUCCUAGAGGAUGUUGGCUGGUUCAA